ACACUCCUACGGGAGGCAGCAGUGGGGAAUUUUGGACAAUGGGCGAAAGCCUGAUCCAGCAAUGCCGCGUGUGUGAAGAAGGCCUUCGGGUUGUAAAGCACUUUUGUCCGGAAAGAAAUCCUUGGCUCUAAUACAGUCGAGGGAUGACGGUACCGGAAGAAUAAGCACCGGCUAACUACGUGCCAGCAGCCGCGGUAAUACGUAGGGUGCGAGCGUUAAUCGGAAUUACUGGGCGUAAAGCGUGCGCAGGCGGUUUGCUAAGACCGAUGUGAAAUCCCCGGGCUCAACCUGGGAACUGCAUUGGUGACUGGCAGGCUAGAGUAUGGCAGAGGGGGGUAGAAUUCCACGUGUAGCAGUGAAAUGCGUAGAGAUGUGGAGGAAUACCGAUGGCGAAGGCAGCCCCCUGGGCCAAUACUGACGCUCAUGCACGAAAGCGUGGGGAGCAAACAGGAUUAGAUACCCCAGUAGUCCCAUGAU
rnacentral:rRNA from 1 species